AUUGAACGCUGGCGGCAUGCCUCACACAUGCAAGUCGAACGCGAAAGUAGGGGCAACCCUGCGAGUAGAGUGGCGAACGGGUGAGUAAUGCAUCGGAACAUUUCCAGUAGCGGGGGAUAACCUCGAGAAAUCGAGGCUAUUACAGCAUACGUCCUACGGGAGAAAGCGGGGGACCGCAAGGCCUCGCACUAUUGGAGUGGCCGAUGCCGGAUCAGCGAGUUGGCGGGGUAAAAGCCAACCAAGGGGACGAUCCGUAGCUGGUCUGAGAGGAUGAUCAGCCACACUGGGACUGAGACACGGCCCAGACUCCUACGGGAGGCAGCAGUGGGGAAUUUUGGACAAUGGGCGAAAGCCUGAUCCAGCCAUGCCGCGUGAGUGAAGAAGGCCUUCGGGUUGUAAAGCUCUUUCGGCCGGGACGAAGUCGCACCCUUUAAUACGGGGUGUGGAUGACGGUACCGGAAGAAGAAGGACCGGCUAACUACGUGCCAGCAGCCGCCGUAA
rnacentral:rRNA from 1 species